AUGGGCAAGAGAAGGCAUCACAGCAAUAUGUAAAAUUAUAGAAAAAGGGGAAAUAAUGAGUUUUCAACAUUUAAAAGACAAUUUUGGUUUAGGAAAAAAUGACUUUUUUAGAUAUUUGCAGACAAGAGAUUAUUAUGCAAGGGCAAUAAAAACAGAUAUGUCCACAGAGCAAAAUGGAGUAAUUAAGGUAUUAACGGAUGCAUAUAAAGGAAAGAUGGGAAGGGUGAUUUCAACACUGUAUCAAGGUCUGGUUAAGAGUAGGCGGAACUCAACAUUAUAUAUAAAAGAAAAGUGGGAACAAGAACUUGAAGUUGAGAUGACAGAAGAAGAAUGGUAUAAUGUCUGUAAGAUGCAACAUUCAACCACUGCCUCAAGAUUGUGGCGGGAGUUCAGCUGGAAAAACAUCAUCAGAUUCUUCAUAACCCCAAAGAUAAAAGGGAGGUAUCUCCCAGAACAGAAGAAGUGUUGGAGGUUAUGUGGACAGGAGGAGGCAGACCAUACUCACAUAUUUUGGAAGUGCUCAAAACUAGAAGGUUUUUGGGAAGGAGUGUGGGGAGUAUUAAAGGAGAUUUUAGGCUAUAACAUAUCCAAGAUGGGCUCAGUACUAUACUUAGGGAAUCUAACUGAAGGAAAUAUUCAGGGUCAGGAUAUCUAUCUUGUAAAGGCACUGCUUGCUGCUAGUAGGAAGAGUAUAACACGGGAAUGGUGCAAAAUUGAACCACCUACAAAGGAGCAGUGGAUGAGAAUAGUGGAGGAAAUAUUUGACAUAGAUAGGCUUACACACAUAUUGAGGUUACAGGAGGGGAAGUUUCAAUCCAAGUGGGAAAAAUGGAUUGAAUAUAAACGGAAAGGGGACGACACCAUAGUUUAGGAUACUUCAUUUCAAGAGCAGGGUGAUGCUGCACACAUUAGUAACAGAGGGAACUUCUAUGCCACUGUCGUUUGUUCUGCCGUGUUUUUUUUUUUUUUUUCCUUUUUUGUCUUGGUUUUUUUUUUUUUUUUUUUUUCUCUCUUUU
rnacentral:lncRNA from 1 species